AUACAUGCAAGUCGAGCGAACAGAUGAGAAGCUUGCUUCUCUGAUGUUAGCGGCGGACGGGUGAGUAACACGUGGGUAACCUACCUAUAAGACUGGGAUAACUCCGGGAAACCGGGGCUAAUACCGGAUAAUAUUUUGAACCGCAUGGUUCAAUAGUGAAAGACGGUUUCGGCUGUCACUUAUAGAUGGACCCGCGCCGUAUUAGCUAGUUGGUAAGGUAAUGGCUUACCAAGGCGACGAUACGUAGCCGACCUGAGAGGGUGAUCGGCCACACUGGAACUGAGACACGGUCCAGACUCCUACGGGAGGCAGCAGUAGGGAAUCUUCCGCAAUGGGCGAAAGCCUGACGGAGCAACGCCGCGUGAGUGAUGAAGGUCUUCGGAUCGUAAAACUCUGUUGUUAGGGAAGAACAAAUUUGUUAGUAACUGAACAAGUCUUGACGGUACCUAACCAGAAAGCCACGGCUAACUACGUGCCAGCAGCCGCGGUAAUACGUAGGUGGCAAGCGUUAUCCGGAAUUAUUGGGCGUAAAGCGCGCGUAGGCGGUUUCUUAAGUCUGAUGUGAAAGCCCACGGCUCAACCGUGGAGGGUCAUUGGAAACUGGGAAACUUGAGUGCAGAAGAGGAGAGUGGAAUUCCAUGUGUAGCGGUGAAAUGCGCAGAGAUAUGGAGGAACACCAGUGGCGAAGGCGGCUCUCUGGUCUGUAACUGACGCUGAUGUGCGAAAGCGUGGGGAUCAAACAGGAUUAGAUACCCUGGUAGUCCACGCCGUAAACGAUGAGUGCUAAGUGUUAGGGGGUUUCCGCCCCUUAGUGCUGCAGCUAACGCAUUAAGCACUCCGCCUGGGGAGUACGACCGCAAGGUUGAAACUCAAAGGAAUUGACGGGGACCCGCACAAGCGGUGGAGCAUGUGGUUUAAUUCGAAGCAACGCGAAGAACCUUACCAAAUCUUGACAUCCUUUGACCGCUCUAGAGAUAGAGUCUUCCCCUUCGGGGGACAAAGUGACAGGUGGUGCAUGGUUGUCGUCAGCUCGUGUCGUGAGAUGUUGGGUUAAGUCCCGCAACGAGCGCAACCCUUAAGCUUAGUUGCCAUCAUUAAGUUGGGCACUCUAGGUUGACUGCCGGUGACAAACCGGAGGAAGGUGGGGAUGACGUCAAAUCAUCAUGCCCCUUAUGAUUUGGGCUACACACGUGCUACAAUGGAUAAUACAAAGGGCAGCGAAUCCGCGAGGCCAAGCAAAUCCCAUAAAAUUAUUCUCAGUUCGGAUUGUAGUCUGCAACUCGACUACAUGAAGCUGGAAUCGCUAGUAAUCGUAGAUCAGCAUGCUACGGUGAAUACGUUCCCGGGUCUUGUACACACCGCCCGUCACACCACGAGAGUUUGUAACACCCGAAGCCGGUGGAGUAACCUUUUAGGAGCUAGCCGUCGAAGG
rnacentral:rRNA from 2 species